rnacentral:rRNA from 1 species
CUACGUGCCAGCAGCCGCGGUAAUACGGAAGGUCCAGGCGUUAUCCGGAUUUAUUGGGUUUAAAGGGAGCGUAGGCGGAUUGUUAAGUCAGCGGUUAAAGGGUGUGGCUCAACCAUACAUUGCCGUUGAAACUGGCGAUCUUGAGUGCAGACAGGGAUGCCGGAAUUCGUGGUGUAGCGGUGAAAUGCUUAGAUAUCACGAAGAACUCCGAUCGCGAAGGCAGGUGUCCGGGCUGCAACUGACGCUGAGGCUCGAAAGUGUGGGUAUCAAACAGGAUUAGAUACCCUGGUAGUCCGCACAGUAAACGAUGGAUGCCCGCUGUUGGUACCUGGUAUCAGCGGCUAAGCGAAAGCAUUAAGCAUCCCACCUGGGGAGUACGCCGGCAACGGUGAAACUCAAAGGAAUUGACGGGGGCCCGCACAAGCGGAGGAACAUGUGGUUUAAUUCGAUGAUACGCGAGGAACCUUACCCGGGCUKAA